UCUUUUUUGGGGAGUUUUCACUUUUAUAUUUAUAAUCUAAUUUAUUUUCAAAAAUACAUUAAUAUUAAAAACUAAGCAAAAUUACAUUUUUUUUUGCAAAAAUACUUGGGUUGGGCUUCUACUCUUCCCUUCUGACGACAAUCACGCCUCCCUCACCCUCAGACGCAGCCCCAAUCGCCGACGGCUUCUACCCAAGACCCAGCGACGACCACUACACCGACCUCUCCCCCAAUUGGUCCGACCACCAUACUCCGUCGCGAGAUCGCUAGAAAGGACCUCCACAGUUAGCGGCCUCGUUUGCUUCUGCUGAUCGUUCAAGAUGCUUACUUUUGGUUGGAUUUCUUUCCUCUUAUGGUUACUCCCAUAUCCAACGGCAACGACAUCAACAUCAUCUCUCUUUUCAUCGCAAUUUUUUUACCAGAGCUAAACAAGUUCAGAGGAUUGAAUUUAAUGAUCAAGAA